rnacentral:sRNA from 1 species
GUAGACUGGGAAACUCAUCAAAUCUUAUAGAAAUACCGAGACAAGCUUGCUUUGUCAAUGGCGGGCCGCGACAUCUGAAAGGGUGUUGUUCCGGAUGACGGGACACGGCGGAUUACAAAGAUGGGGAAGCACUCAAAUCCUGUCACUCGGAGUUUCAUCGCAUCCUUUG